CGGGGCUGCGGCCGAGCCGGGCUGGGCCGGGCAGGGCCGGGGGGGGCCGGGGGUGCCCCGGGGGUGCCGCCUCCAGCCGGGCCCUGCGGGCACUGCGGGGCCCGGCCCGGGCACAGCCGCCGGUGCCAGGCCCGUGGUCGCGGCCUGCGUGGAAAAUGUGGAGAAAAAGCCAAAAACGUGCGAAAAGCCCGGCGGAGCCGUGCCCGGCCCGGCCCGGCAUCGCCUCACCGGGGAGCUGGGGGUCUGCUCCCGGCCUCUCCCGCCCGCAGGCUGCGGGUCCUGGUGCGAGAGGUGCUGGCGCUGCCCCGCAGCCUGCUCGGGGGCCGUUGCCCCCCUUCAGCGAUGGUAGAGCCGCUCGGGCGCAGGCUGGAGAUGAGCCCCUUGCACCGCCUGCGGCCCCUUCCCAAAGCACGCCGAGAACGCCGGGCGAACGCGGUGCCUCAGCGUCCCUCGUGCGGGUAACGCCAGCGCUCCGUGAGCAAACGGCAAGGGAGUGGCUGUCAAUGCACACAUCCCUCCGGAUUAUCUUCUUCGGAUCUGUGAGAGACUUGGACCGCUUUUAGACAAGGAAAUCCCCCAGAGCGUCCUAGGUGUGCAGACUUUGCUAGGCGUUGGGCGGCAGUCUCUGUUACGGGCAGCAAAAGGUAAGGUUUUCAGUGCACGCGUGGCUGCGUUUUGUUUUGAUGAGUAACCCCCUUUUGUUUCAAUUCAUGUUGCGCUAUCUGUGCUUGUUUGCAUGAACCGUGGUUUUAUCUCAUUUGCCUGUCAGCUCCUGCUUUCCUGUUGCAGUCCUGCCAAAAUACAGCUGGUGCCGGUCCUGUUGCACAUACCUGCUUUUGGCUGGCAACGCCACCUGAAGCAGCUCGUCUGUUAUUGCCUGAUCUUGUUACUUGCUUCUCCUCCCCACCCUCCCCGGCACGUUGGGCCAGGGAUUGUGUAAAUGAUGUGGUGAACUGGAUUAGAGAUUCGAUCCAUCUGAAAUAGCCGUUUUCUUCAUAUGCACAAGCGUGUGUGUGUGUCCGAAAUAAGCCGGCAGAGUUUAUGUUUUGCUGGGCUGUUUUUCACGCUGAUACGUUCCAUUUUUUGGCUCCCUGGCCGUGCAGAUGGGUACGUCAGGUUGAAGGACAGGGUAGCAUUUGGGGCAGCAUUUAGGGGGUGGGAGAAGGUGAGACCGGUUCUCUGGUGAUAAUUCCUGCUUGCCCUUGCUUAAAGUUAAUUUGACCGAAAGCCCCUGUUACCUUCAUGAAUAGAACACCAGGCCAGUCCUUUUGAAAAACCGCUCUGCUUGAGAUAAUGAUCCUGAAAGCAGACUUUUUGUGUCAGAACUAAGUGGAUCUGAGAGCCAUCUGCUAUUGAAAGGAGCGGUUCCUCCCGUCCCUCCUCGCUCCGUGCCCCCGCCACUUCUCCCCUGUAGGAGCCAGAACUUAUCUGAUCCUAUGAUGGGCUGAUUCGGAGAGCUAAACUGUUGCAAAAUUUAUUACUGCUAUUGUAGGGAAUUAAAUUAGCUCGUGGAAGGGUCAGGGUGCCGGAGGUGACAAGAGGCAGCAGGAGCAACGUCCUGGGAGCAGGGCAGGGAUGGAGAGCAGGACCUUCCAGUCGGAGUGGCAGCUGAGCACUUAAUUUGUUGCGUCCUCUGAAGUCACACUCUGAUGCCGGUCAGGGCUGCAGCAUUUUGCUAAUCAACUUGAUACCACCUGAAGGAUGUGCUGUCUGCAGUUGCUUACCCAAAGGCUUGGGGAUGAGUCUAUGUUUUGUUAUAAUUGGCUGGAGAGUUUCAGGUUUGCAGGGAGGCCCACUUCAAAACAUUUCUUUGUUCCACAUCAGUUUGCAUCUUAGGAGAAAGCAGCAACAAAAACAUAAAGAGAGAAUAAACAUAUUUGUGCUGGGAGACA
rnacentral:lncRNA from 1 species